rnacentral:rRNA from 1 species
UGGACGGAAGUCUGAACCAGCCAAGUAGCGUGCAGGAUGACGGCCCUAUGGGUUGUAAGCUGCUUUUGUAUGGGGAUAAAGUUAGGGACGUGUCCCUAUUUGCAGGUACCAUACGAAUAAGGACCGGCUAAUUCCGUGCCAGCAGCCGCGGUAAU